AAAACUCUGCCUUAAUAAGAAACCACAACCCUUCCUGCGAAGCUGAUAUCAAAAUUUGUGACACAGGAAAUAAACUAUUGCAGCCCCUGCUGGCAACAGCGUGAUAAUACAGUGUGCAUAUCAUAGAUGUUGUUAGAUCUGUUCACUACAGAGGUGCAUCUUUUUGUUCAAGAACUAAUAACUGUGGGAAUCAAGAAAGCCUUCGGCUCGGGCACAAGACUUUAUGUGACAGAAUCAGGCAAAGACAAGCCUGAGGCACCAGAGGUGUCAGUGUACCAAUUGUCCUCCGCACAACCAAAUGGCAAAAGCACAAUGUUAUGUCAAGCCAAGAAGAUGUUUCCUGACUUGGUGAAAUUCUCGUGGGAAAUGAAGGGCAAGACCGGAGGAGACUGGACUAAAGUGGAGGAGAAAAAUGUUGUGGAGCAGUGGAACAAACAGCCAACGAUUGCCGUGACAAGUAUGGUGAUCGUAGACAAAAAUACAGCCAAAAACAACCUUUACCGAUGCACUGUUACACACGAGGGAACAGACAUUCAAAGAAUUGGAUUAGCAAAAGAAGAGCCAGCAGUGAAUACCAAUGUUGACGCACAAAUCCCGGUACCAUGUCCACCCAACACAGAAUCACCCUCAGAUACUAUGGAUCAAAUACCUAGUCUGUACCUGUUUGUUUAUGCAUAUGUUGUAUUGCUCAUGAAGAACGGAUUUUAUUUUUGUGCUGUCUCUAUCUUUCUAUUGAAGAGAAAAGCUGGAAAGAAGGAUGCAAGCUCUUAGGGGCUAAAUGCAUAAUAUCAACAUGAACAAACAUAAGGUUUAAAAUGUCCAGUAUAUUUCUUUGAAUUCUUAAAAAAAAAAAGAUGCACAUUUAAAAAUGUACUCCCUCCAUGUCAGGAAUUUCUUCUCAAAUGUAUUUCUUCUAAAUGUAUUUGUUUUAGAUCUGUUUUAUUAAUGCUUCUAAAAAAUAUGAAUGGCUUGAUUGUAUUUUAAUUGUCUUUUUAAAGCUCAUAAACAGAAAUG